UUAUGUUUCAGAUUUAACGGGCUUCUGUAGAUUAUAUUGUACCAUUAAUUUCUUUCAUAAAGCCCAAUUCAUUUCGGGCCUUGUAUAGAAAAUGUAUUCUGGGCCAUCCUUGAAGCCCGCGUAAUUUGUAUAUAUUGUUAAUAAUUCCUUAGAAUUUAUUAAAGUUUUGCAGAAGUGUGAAUUAAUGAGUUGUAAAGUCAAUUAGACAUAUAUUAAAGUUAAAUAUGCUAAACACAUUUGGUUGGUCU
rnacentral:lncRNA from 1 species